GCCCUCUUGGCUCAGUUGGCUAGAGCGCAGGUCUCAUAACUAUUAUGAGAGGUUGAAUGACCUUCCAAUCCUGAGGUCGCAAGUUCGAGCCUUGCAGAGGGCA
rnacentral:tRNA from 1 species